AAGGCUAAAUAUAAUAUACGAUCGAUAGUGAACUAGUACAGCGAUGGAAAGGUGAAAAGAACCCCGGGAGGGGAGUGAAAUAGAUCCUGAAAUUUAGUGCCUACAAGGAGUCGGAGCCGGCUUGUCCGGUGACGGCGUGCUUUUUGUAGAACGAUCCAGCGAGUUAAUUUCGUGCGCAAGGUUAAGUUAGUUAACGGAGCCACAGUGAAAGCGAGCCUGAAUAGGGCGUUUAGUGUACGGAAUUAGACCCGAAACCGGGUGACCUAACCAUGAGCAGGUUGAAGCUACUGUAACAGGUAGUGAAGGACCGAACCAGGAUACGCAGCAAAGUGUUUGGAUGACUUGUGGUUAGCGGUGAAAUGCCAAUCGAACUCGGAGAUAGCUGGUUCUCCUCGAAAUAGCUUUAGGGCUAGCGUCAUGUUAGUAAUGUAUGGGGGUAGAGCUCUGUAAAGGAUUGGGGCGGGCAACUGUACCCACCCUUAACAAACUACGAAUACCAUAUAUGUAAUCAUGGCAGUUAGAACAUCGGUGCUAAGAUCGGUGCUCAAAAGGGAAACAGCCCAGACCAUCAUCUAAGGUCCCUAAAUAUACAUUAAGUGGGAAACAAGGUGAAAUUUCUUAAACAGCGAGGAUGUUGGCUUAGAAGCAGCCAUUCAUUUAAAGAGUGCGUAACAGCUCACUCGUCAAGAGAUUUUGCGUGGAAAAUGUAACGGGGCUAAAUGUAUUACCGAAGAUAUGGAUUAUUACAUUAGUAAUAGUGGUAGAGGAGCGUUCCUAUCAGCAGUGAAGCAGUAUUGAAAAGUAUUGUGGAGCGGUAGGAAGUGAGAAUGCUGGAAUGAGUAACCAUAAGAUAGGUGAGAAUCCUGUCGGCCGUAAGAGCAAGGUUUCCUGAGCUAUGGUAAUCAUCUCAGGGUUAGUCGGGCCUAAGCCGAGGCGCAGAGCGUAGGCGAUGGACAUCAGGUUAAUAUUCCUGAACCGGUUAAGUUUUGUACACUGUUCACGGGGAAGUAAUCGAAGCGGAUUCAUGGUUUAUCCGUCCAACCGAGCGGGAACGCAAAGGGAGUGAAAGUGAUUCUUCGGAGUCGCGAUUUUGGUGAAAGCCCUGGCUAGAAAAGCAGGUGUACGCGUGGACUUAGCCGCCCGUACCGCAAACCAACACAGGUGCUCGAGUCGAGUAGACUCAGGCUUACGAGCGAACCUUCGCUAAGGAACUCGGCAAUACAGCGACCGUAACUUCGGGAUAAGGUCUGCCCCCACUUCGGUGGAUAUCAGCCGCGUUCACUCAGUGAAUAAUAGGUUAAAGAGUACAUUUUUAAUCACAAAACGAAUUUUCUGAGACACGAGCAAACAAAUUGCUCUUUGAACGCGAACCUCUUGUAUCUAAUGAUGUGGGGGCCGCAGCAAAAGAGCCCACGGAACUGUUUAUCAAAAACACAGGUCUCUGCUAACACGAAAGUGGAUGUAUAGGGGCUGACUCCUGCCCGGUGCCGGAAGGUUAAGGGGAGUGCUUCACGGUGCAAACUGAAGCCCCGGUGAACGGCGGCGGUAACUAUAACCGUCCUAAGGUAGCGAAAUUCCUUGUCAGGUAAGUUCUGACCCGCACGAAUGGAGUAAUCAUGUGGGCACUGUCUCAGCGAAGGACUCGGUGAAAGUGCAUUGGCGGUAAAGAUGCCGUCUGUCCGUACCAGGACGAAAAGACCCCAUGGAGCUUUACUACAGCUUUACAUUGAAUACGGUUUCAACAUGUGUAGCAUAGGUGGGAGAUAUUGAAGCAGAUACGCCAGUAUUUGUGGAGUCACCAAGUGAAAUACCACCCUUGUUGUGAUUGUGUUCUCACGCUGACCGUUAUCCGGUUAGCGGACCGUGUAUGGUGGGUAGUUUAACUGGGGCGGUUGCCUCCUAAAGAGUAGCGGAGGCGUUCAAAGGUUGGCUAACUUCGGAUGGAAAUCGAAGUGAUAGUGUAUGCGCACAAGCCAGCUUGACUGUGAGGAGUACAUUCCAAUCAGAGACGAAAGUCGGAGCAAGUGAUCCGCUGUACGUACAUUUGUACAUGAAUGUGGGAUCGACAGCGCAAACGGAUAAAAGUUACCCUGGGGAUAACAGGCUUAUAGCGCCCAAUAGUUCACAUAGACGGCGCUGUUUGGCACCUCGAUGUCGGCUCAUCACAUCCUGGAGGGGGAGCACCUUCCAAGGGUUCGGCUGUUCGCCGAUUAAAGUGGUACGCGAGCUGGGUUCAGAACGUCGUGAGACAGUUCGGUUUAUAUCCGGUAUGGACG
rnacentral:rRNA from 1 species